rnacentral:rRNA from 1 species
AGGAUGAACGCUGGCGGCGUGCUUAACACAUGCAAGUCGAACGAUGAACCUCACUUGUGGGGGGAUUAGUGGCGAACGGGUGAGUAACACGUGAGUAACCUGCCCUUAACUCUGGGAUAAGCCUGGGAAACUGGGUCUAAUACCGGAUAUGACCUGUCACCGCAUGGUGGUGGGUGGAAAGAUUUUUUGGUUUGAAUGGACUCGCGGCCUAUCAGCUUGUUGGUGAGGUAAUGGCUCACCAAGGCGACGACGGGUAGCCGGCCUGAGAGGGUGACCGGCCACACUGGGACUGAGACACGGCCCAGACUCCUACGGGAGGCAGCAGUGGGGAAUAUUGCACAAUGGGCGCAAGCCUGAUGCAGCGACGCCGCGUGAGGAUGAAGGCCUUCGGGUUGUAACCUCUUUCAGUAGGGAAGAGCCGUGAGGUGACGGUACCUGCAGAAGAAGCGCCGGCUAACUACGCGCCAGCAGCCGCGGU